rnacentral:rRNA from 1 species
UACAGAGGGUGCAAGCGUUGUUCGGAAUUAUUGGGCGUAAAGCGCGUGUAGGCGGCUUUGCAAGUCAGAUGUGAAAGCCCUCGGCUUAACCGAGGAAGUGCGUCUGAAACUGCAGAGCUUGAGUGUCGGAGAGGAUGGCGGAAUUCCGCAAGUAGAGGUGAAAUUCGUAGAUAUGCGGAGGAACACCGGUGGCGAAGGCGGCCAUCUGGACGACGACUGACGCUGAGACGCGAAAGCCAGGGGAGCAAACGGG